AGAGUUUGAUCCUGGCUCAGGAUUAACGCUAGCGGCAGGCCUAAUACAUGCAAGUCGAACGGUAACAGGUGUAGCAAUACAUGCUGACGAGUGGCGCACGGGUGCGUAACACGUAUGCAACCUACCUAUAACUGGGGAAUAGCCUUCCGAAAGGAAGAUUAACACCGCAUAACAUCAUUCUGCGGCAUCGCAGAAUGAUCAAACCUCCGGGGGUUAUAGAUGGGCAUGCGUAACAUUAGCUAGUUGGUGAGGUAACGGCUCACCAAGGCUACGAUGUUUAGGGGGUCUGAGAGGAUGAUCCCCCACACUGGUACUGAGACACGGACCAGACUCCUACGGGAGGCAGCAGUAAGGAAUAUUGGACAAUGGGGGCAACCCUGAUCCAGCCAUGCCGCGUGAAGGAUGAAGGCCCUCUGGGUCGUAAACUUCUUUUGUACGGGAAUAAACCCCUCUACGUGUAGAGGGUUGAAUGUACCGUAAGAAUAAGGAUCGGCUAACUUCGUGCCAGCAGCCGCGGUAAUACGAAGGAUCCAAGCGUUAUCCGGAUUUAUUGGGUUUAAAGGGUGCGUAGGCGGGCUAUUAAGUCAGUGGUGAAAGCCCCAAGCUUAACUUGGGAAUUGCCAUUGAUACUGAUGGUCUUGAGUACACUUGAAGUGGGCGGAAUGUGUCAUGUAGCGGUGAAAUGCUUAGAUAUGACACAGAACACCGAUUGCGAAGGCAGCUCGCUAAAUUGUAACUGACGCUGAGGCACGAAAGCGUGGGGAUCAAACAGGAUUAGAUACCCUGGUAGUCCACGCCCUAAGCGAUGAUUACUCGAUGUGUGCAAUACACCGUACGCGUCUGAGCGAAAGCAUUAAGUAAUCCACCCGGGGAGUACGACCGCAAGGUUGAAACUCAAAGGAAUUGACGGGGGCCCGCACAAGCGGAGGAGCAUGUGGUUUAAUUCGAUGACACGCGAGGAACCUUACCAGGGCUUGAAAGUUAAGGAAUGAUGUAGAAAUAUGUCAGUCAGCAAUGACCUAAAACUAGGUGCUGCAUGGCUGUCGUCAGCUCGUGCCGUGAGGUGUUGGGUUAAGUCCCGCAACGAGCGCAACCCCUAUCAUUAGUUGCCAACAGGUUAUGCUGGGGACUCUAAUGAGACUGCCCGCGCAAGCGGUGAGGAAGGUGGGGAUGACGUCAAGUCAUCACGGCCCUUACGUCCUGGGCUACACACGUGCUACAAUGGCCGGUACAGAGGGCAGCUACUUGGUAACAAGAUGCUAAUCCUUAAAGCCGGUCUCAGUUCGGAUUGAGGUCUGCAACUCGACCUCAUGAAGCUGGAUUCGCUAGUAAUCGCAUAUCAGCCAUGAUGCGGUGAAUACGUUCCCGGGCCUUGUACACACCGCCCGUCAAGCCAUGGAAGUUGGGGGUACCUGG
rnacentral:rRNA from 1 species